GUGCUCACUUUGGCAGCAUAUAUACUAAAAUUGGAAUAAUAAAGAGAUGGUUAUGGCCCCUGUGCAAGGAUGACACACAAAUUGAUGAAGCAUUCCAUAUUUUA
rnacentral:snRNA from 1 species